AUACGGAGGGUGCAAGCGUUAUCCGGAUUUACUGGGUUUAAAGGGUACGCAGGCGGUAAUUUAAGUCAGUGGUGAAAGCCUACAGCUCAACUGUAGAACUGCCAUUGAAACUGAAUUACCUGAGUAUGGUAGAGGUAGGCGGAAUACAACAUGUAGCGGUGAAAUGCAUAGAUAUGUUGUAGAACACCGAUUGCGAAGGCAGCUUACUAAACCAUUACUGACGCUCAUGUACGAAAGCGUGGGGAGCGAACAGGAUUAGAUACCCUAGUAGUCC
rnacentral:rRNA from 1 species